CCUACGGGUGGCUGCAGUGGGGAAUAUUGCGCAAUGGGCGAAAGCCUGACGCAGCGACGCCGCGUGAGGGAUGAAGGUUUUCGGAUCGUAAACCUCUGUCAGAAGGGAAGAAACUACGUUGUGCUAAUCAGCAGCGUACUGACGGUACCUUCAAAGGAAGCACCGGCUAACUCCGUGCCAGCAGCCGCGGUAAUACGGAGGGUGCAAGCGUUAAUCGGAAUUACUGGGCGUAAAGCGCACGUAGGCUGUAGUGUAAGUCAGGGGUGAAAUCCCAC
rnacentral:rRNA from 1 species